CCUUUGUAGAGUCUCCUUACAUACAUCAUGAAGAGUUCUUCUUCCUUUGAAUAGAGAACAUGAAGUUGCCUAAGUAACAAAAAUGUUUUAUGAGAUGCUUUUUGGAAAGGAAUAGGACCUUCCUCACUUAAAGCUUUCUGAAACUUUGUGGAUUAUACCUCACAAAUGACCUGCAGCGUAGUCUAUCUAAUUUUCUCCAUAUCCUGAUGGUCACUUCAUGGAAUGGCUACUCAUCCAGCUAUGUAGUCUUACACAGGAUGGGUUUUUUUUCCCCCGCAGUUUACUCAAACAGUACACAAUUGUUACAAUAAAACAUGACACCUGAAAUUCAGGAACAUGAUUCGCAAAGGAAAAGCCUAUUACAAUAACAAAGUUGUUGGCUGUCUUUUGCAAUGACUUUAUGGCACUGGUUUUACCAUGAUAGAGGAAUGGAAGGUGAUUUUCAGUCGUGGGAUAUAGGACUUCCUUCAAUGGUGGCUGCAGAUGGGGGGUUUCUAGAAGUUUAACACUGUCCAGAAAAAUCACUUUCAAACAAUUUCAUUGUGCUUUGGUAAACUACACUGAAUAAAUAUGGGAAGAGGAUUCAUUACUUUAUACAAAAAAAAAAUAUAUUUGUGGAGAGUGACUUAACACUGGGAAGGCUGAAGACGGUAUGAACAAUGAUGAAACAUCAAAGAGCUGAUGAGUGGGAAGUGGGUGUCUUUGAUCUCAGAUGAGCCUGAUCUUAGAGAAAUACCACAUGGUGGAUGAAGAUGUCCUAAGGGAUCUGAGAUUUUUAGAAUCAGGAAAAUAUCACCUCCACCUUUGCCUCCUCUGUUUUCUCCAGUCCUGCCCAAGAAUCACUUCAACUAAUCUUGUAGUAUUGAUAAUUGUCAAGGAUACUAUCCAAAGGACAAAGCAGUGAUAAUAUAUUUUCAUUGCAUGGGUUGCAAUACGUUUCCAUUCACAAUUUCCCUUGAUGUGUACUGGUAUCUUUUCCCAUAGCUUCAUAGUUUUGAAAACAUUAAGAAAUUUAAAAUGGGACAGGCUUUUUCAAUUAAUACUUAAAACAAAUAAAAAAUUAUGACUAUAUGGGAAGAUUUUGGAGGCAGUGGCAGAUAUCAACAAUUCAAUAUCAAUUAGAUAUUAGCUGUGCAAAAGUUUACUUAAACCUGUGAGCCUUAGUUUCUAUACCAUAAAAUUGUUGUAGGAUUAAUGUGGCAGAAAAUACGUGCUUUGCUCUCCACUCAAUAUCCACUGUCCACUGUACUUUGUUAACCAAGUCUCGAUAUUUUAGCACUUUGUAUGACAUGAAGGAGUCACUCCUCUAACCCAGACCUAAAACCUUAUUAAUCUAGACCAAUCACAACAAUUCCACUCUCCUUGCUAGAGACUAAAGAAGGCUCAUGUGACACAAAUCUGACCAAUGAGCUUUAAGUGGAAGGCUCCUAGAAUAUAUUUGUUUUCUUUUUUUUUUUUAAUUUGAGUAUCGUUGACACAUAAUGUUACAGUAGUUUCAAGUGUAUAAUUUAAUGAUUUGGCAAAUUGAUAUGUUAUGCUGUGUUCACCACAAGUGUAGCUAUCAUGGCUAUUACAACAUCAUUGACUGUAUUCCUUACACUGUGCCUUUAUAAUAAGUAUUCCCAUGACUUAUUCAUUCCAUAACUGGAAGCUUGUAUCUCCCUCUCCCUUUCACUCAUUCCCACCCCCCCAUCUCCCUCCCCUCUCGCAGCCAUCAGUUUAUUUUCUGUAUUUAUGGGUCUGAUUCUGCUUUUUGUUUGUUUAUUCUUUUUUUUUUAUAAUUCCACUUAUGAGUGGAAUCCUAUGGUAUUUGCUUCUCAGUCUCACAUUUCAU